CCUACGGGAGGCAGCAGUGAGGAAUAUUGGUCAAUGGACGAGAGUCUGCACCAGCCAAGUAGCGUGAAGGAUGACUGCCCUAUGGGUUGUAAACUUCUUUUAUAUGGGAAUAAAACAGGGUAUGCAUACCCUCUUGUAUGUACCAUAUUAAUAAGGAUCGGCUAACUCCGUGCUAACAGCCGCGGUAAUACGGAGGAUCCGAGCGUUAUCCGGAUUUAUUGGGUUUAAGGGGAGCGUAGGUUGGUUGUUAGUUAAGUUGUGAAAGUUUGCGGCUCAACCGUAAAAUUGCAGUUGAAACUGGCAGUCGUGAGUACAGUAGAGGUGGGCGGAAUGCGUGGUGUAGCGGUGAAAUGCUUAGAUAUCACGAAGAACUCCGAUUGCGAAGGCAGCUCACUGGACUGCAACUGACACUGAUGCUCGAAAGUGUGGGUAUCAAACAGGAUUAGAUACCCUUGUAGUC
rnacentral:rRNA from 1 species